UUCAAACGAGAGUUUGAUCCCGGCUCAGAAUCAACGCUGGCGGCGCGCUUAACACAUGCAAGUCGCACGAGAAAGGGGAGCAAUCCCUGAGUACAGUGGCGUACGGGUGAGUAACACGUGGAUGAUCUACCUCUUGGUGGGGAAUAACCCUGGGAAACCGGGGCUAAUACCGCAUAAGCCCAUUCUUUAAAGAGAAGACGGGAAAGCAGCAAUGCGCCGAGAGAGGAGUCCGCGGCCGAUUAGCUAGUUGGCGGGGUAAUGGCCCACCAAGGCGAAGAUCGGUAGCCGGCCUGAGAGGGCACACGGCCACAC
rnacentral:rRNA from 1 species